AGCGAACGCUGGCGGCAGGCUUAACACAUGCAAGUCGAGCGGGCCCUUCGGGGGUCAGCGGCAGACGGGUGAGUAACACGUGGGAACGUGCCCUUCGGUUCGGAAUAACUCAGGGAAACUUGAGCUAAUACCGGAUACGCCCUUUUGGGGAAAGGUUUACUGCCGAAGGAUCGGCCCGCGUCUGAUUAGCUAGUUGGUGGGGUAAUGGCCUACCGAAGGCGACGAUCAGUAGCUGGUCUGAGAGGANGAUCAGCCACACUGGGACUGAGACACGGCCCAGACUCCUACGGGGAGGCAGCAGUGGGGAAUAUUGGACAAUGGGCGCAAGCCUGAUCCAGCCAUGCCGCGUGAGUGAUGAAGGCCUUAGGGUUGUAAAGCUCC
rnacentral:rRNA from 1 species